rnacentral:rRNA from 1 species
UGGGGAAUGUUGCACAAUGGGGGAAACCCUGAUGCAGCCAUGCCGCGUGAGUGAAGAAGGCCUUCGGGUUGUAAAGCACUUUCAGUAGGGAGGAAAGGUUGUAAGUUAAUACCUUGCAGCUGUGACGUUACCUACAGAAGAAGGACCGGCUAACUCCGUGCCAGCAGCCGCGGUAAUACGGAGGGUCCAAGCGUUAAUCGGAAUUACUGGGCGUAAAGCGUGCGCAGGCGGUUUGUUAAGCGAGAUGUGAAAGCCCCGGGCUCAACCUGGGAAUUGCAUUUCGAACUGGCAAACUAGAGUCUUGUAGAGGGGGGUAGAAUUCCAGGUGUAGCGGUGAAAUGCGUAGAGAUCUGGAGGAAUACCGGUGGCGAAGGCGGCCCCCUGGACAAAGACUGACGCUCAGGCACGAAAGCGUGGGGAGCAAACAGGAUUAGAUACCCUGGUAGUCCACGCCGUAAACGAUGUCUACUCGGAGUUUGGUGUCUUGAACACUGGGCUCUCAAGCUAACGCAUUAAGUAGACCGCCUGGGGAGUACAGCCGCAGGGUUA